UUAUUUACCUGUCAAGGGAGACACCAUGAUCAUCAGGCAGGCAUUUUCCUCAGGGAAAAGCUUAUCCCCUGCACUCUGGAUGUGUGACCCCUGGUGAUUUCCCCAAGUGCAGGAACCUCAACUGCAUGAUUUGUGGAAGUGAGGGACUGCAUUCAUGCUCUUCCCUA